rnacentral:tRNA from 1 species
UGGCACAGUGGUUAAGAGUUUGGCUGCUAACCAAAUGGUUGGUGGUUUGAAUCCACC